GUAUUUCCGCCGGCGCGAAACGAGCGUAGCUUCCUUGUCGUGUGGCCUCAGUCCUUCGCCGUCCCUCGCCGUCCUUCGCCAUCGCACGCCACCGCACCCCAUCUCUCGAAAUCUGCAGACAUCUUGAUUUUUCCCACGCUGUCUGUCAGGUCUCCGCCGCCACUCGACGCCAGGGCGCCGGGCCUUGUGGGCUGUGCUGCACCUCGGACGGCUUCGCACCAGCCAGCGCCCUCUCUCUCCUGCAGCACUCUGAUCUGCACCCCCUGAGGGGCUUCCACUGUCCGCGGGGUGAGAAUGCCCCUGGGAGUGUCACAUGACUGCCGCCCCAUGUGUGUGAGAGGCGUCCUCUGGGAGAGCAUGGAUCCUGAGGUCCCAGGAUUGUCAGCUGACCUCUGUCCUGUGUGCCCAGUGGCCCCAGGUGACGUGUCUUCAAGAAGAGGCUGAGCUGCGGUGCUUGUAAGAUGGGUCUGCUGUGUGCAGAGGCUCCAUGGGAUGUGUUGUCUUCAUAGUAGCAGGGCGCUGGACCAUGGGUCCGCAAGGUCUCAGCCUUAGAUCCAAGGACAGUCCAAGGAAGUCCUAAGACCAUGGAGUUGGUGAUCUGGGAUCUGGGUUUGCUGAUAUUUCUCACCGUGAAUCUCUUGGUGGUGUUUGUGGGCACGAGAGGGGCAGAGAAUGGAGAGUGAGGCUACCACAUGAAGCGUCACCAGAGCUGCUCCCUGCUGCCUGCUCAGAGCACCCCGGAUCCACUGUUCAAUCUGCACAAGAUUCGGGGUCCAGACAUGGGAGACUUCAGCUGCCUCAGAGGACCGUGGACAGGGAAGGCCAGCCUCGCAUCCCUCUGUCCAUGCCUGGAAUGACUUUAAUAACCAAGAGUUUUAUUUUUGAAUUUGUAGCUGUCGUUCACUUUUUACCCACCCAUUCAAUAAACCUUACAGAAUUGCUCCA
rnacentral:sRNA from 1 species